UACGUAGGGGGCUAGCGUUGUCCGGAAUCAUUGGGCGUAAAGAGCGUGUAGGCGGCUCGAUAAGUCCGCUGUGAAAGUCCAGGGCUCAACCCUGGGAUGCCGGUGGAUACUGUCGGGCUCGAGUCCGGAAGAGGCGAGUGGAAUUCCUGGUGUAGCGGUGAAAUGCGCAGAUAUCAGGAGGAACACCAAUGGCGAAGGCAGCUCGCUGGGACGUGACUGACGCUGAGAAGCGAAAGCAUGGGGAGCGAACAGG
rnacentral:rRNA from 1 species